GACGAACGCUGGCGGCGUGCUUAACACAUGCAAGUCGAACGGAAAGGCCCUGCUUUUGUGGGGUGCUCGAGUGGCGAACGGGUGAGUAACACGUGAGUAACCUGCCCUUGACUUUGGGAUAACUUCAGGAAACUGGGGCUAAUACAGGAUAGGAGCUCCUGCUGCAUGGUGGGGGUUGGAAAGUUUCGGCGGGUGGGGAUGGACUGGCGGCUUAUCAGCUUGUUGGUGGGGUAGUGGCUUACCAAGGCUUGGACGGGUAGCCGGCCUGAGAGGGUGACCGGCCACAUUGGGACUGAGAGACGGCGCAGACUCCUACGGGAGGCAGCGGUGGGGAAUAUUGCACAAUGGGCGGAAGCCUGAUGCAGCGACGCCGCGUGCGGGAUGACGGCCUUCGGGUUGUAAACCGCUUUCGCCUGUGACGAAGCGUGAGUGACGGUAAUGGGUAAAGAAGCACCGGCUAACUACGUG
rnacentral:rRNA from 1 species